rnacentral:rRNA from 1 species
UAGCAUAUCAAUAAGCGGAGGAAAAGAAACCAACAGGGAUUGCCCUAGUAACGGCGAGUGAAGCGGCAACAGCUCAAAUUUGAAAUCUGGCUUCGGCCCGAGUUUGUAAUUUGUAGAGGAUGCUUUUGGUGAGGUGCCUUCUGAGUUCCCUGGAACGGGACGCCAGAGAGGGUGAGAGCCCCGUAUAGUCGGCCACCGAUCCUCUGUAAAGCUCCUUCGACGAGUCGAGUAGUUUGGGAAUGCUGCUCAAAAUGGGAGGUAUAUCUCUUCUAAAGCUAAAUAUUGGCCAGAGACCGAUAGCGCACAAGUAGAGUGAUCGAAAGAUGAAAAGCACUUUGAAAAGAGGGUUAAAUAGCACGUGAAAUUGUUGAAAGGGAAGCGCUUGUGACCAGACUUGUGCCGGGCUGAUCAUCCAGUGUUCUCACUGGUGCACUCGACCCGGCUCAGGCCAGCGUCGGUUCUCGCAGGGGGAUAAAAGCUUCGGGAACGUGGCACCUUCGGGUGUGUUAUAGCCCGCUGCUUAAUACCCUUGUGGGGACCGAGGUUCGCGCUCUGCAAGGACGCUGGCAUAAUGGUCAUCAGCGACCCGUCUUGAAACACGGACCAAGGAGUCGAGGUUUUGCGCGAGUGUUUGGGUGUAAAACCCGCACGCGUAAUGAAAGUGAACGUAGGUGAGAGCUUCGGCGCAUCAUCGACCGAUCCUGAUGUAUUCGGAUGGAUUUGAGUAAGAGCGUAUAGCCUCGGACCCGAAAGAUGGUGAACUAUGCCUGAAUAGGGUGAAGCCAGAGGAAACUCUGGUGGAGGCUCGCAGCGGUUCUGACGUGCAAAUCGAUCGUCAAAUUUGGGCAUGGGGGGCGAAAGACUAAUCGAACCAUCUAGUAGCUGGGUUACCGCGA